AUCAAUAAGCGGAGGAAAAGAAACCAACAGGGAUUGCCUUAGUAACGGCGAGUGAAGCGGCAACAGCUCAAAUUUGAAAGCUGGCCCUUUUAGGGUCCGCAUUGUAAUUUGUAGAGGAUGAUUCGGCGAGGGCUCCUGCCUAAGUCCCCUGGAACGGGGCGUCAUAGAGGGUGAGAAUCCCGUAUGCGGUAGGUUGCCUUAGCCAUGUGAAUCUCCUUCGACGAGUCGAGUUGUUUGGGAAUGCAGCUCUAAAUGGGAGGUAAAUUUCUUCUAAAGCUAAAUACCGGCCAGAGACCGAUAGCGCACAAGUAGAGUGAUCGAAAGAUGAAAAGCACUUUGGAAAGAGAGUUAAAAAGUACGUGAAAUUGUUGAAAGGGAAGCGCUUGCAACCAGACUUGUCCGCAGUUGCUCAGCCGGUCUCCUGACCGGCGUACUCUUCUGCGGCCAGGCCAGCAUCAGUUCGGGCGGUCGGAUAAAGGCCUCGGGAAUGUAGCUCCUCUCGGGGAGUGUUAUAGCCCGGGGUGGAAUGCGGCCAGCCUGGACUGAGGAACUCGCUUCGGCAAGGAUGCUGGCGUAAUGGUUGUAAGCGG
rnacentral:rRNA from 1 species